UGGGGAAUAUUGGACAAUGGGGGCAACCCUGAUCCAGCAAUGCCGCGUGAGUGAUGAAGGCCUUAGGGUUGUAAAGCUCUUUUGCCAGGGAAGAUGAUGACUGUACCUGGAGAAUAAGCCCCGGCUAACUUCGUGCCAGCAGCCGCGGUAAUACGAAGGGGGCUAGCGUUGUUCGGAAUUACUGGGCGUAAAGGGCGCGUAGGCGGCCGUUUAAGUUAGGUGUGAAAGUCCUGGGCUCAACCUGGGGACUGCACUUAAUACUGGAUGGCUUGAAUUCGGGAGAGGAUAGCGGAAUUCCCAGUGUAGAGGUGAAAUUCGUAGAUAUUGGGAAGAACACCGGUGGCGAAGGCGGCUAUCUGGACCGACAUUGACGCUGAGGCGCGAAAGCGUGGGGAGCAAACAGG
rnacentral:rRNA from 2 species